rfam:Ictidomys tridecemlineatus contig076845, whole genome shotgun sequence.
UGGGAUGUGGCUCAGUGGUAGAGGGCUCACCUUGCAUGUGCGAGACCCUGGGUUCCAUCCUCAGCACCACAU